AUUGAACGCUGGCGGCAUGCUUUACACAUGCAAGUCGAACGGUAACAGGCCUUCGGGUGCUGACGAGUGGCGAACGGGUGAGUAAUGCAUCGGAACGUGCCCAGAGGUGGGGGAUAACGCAGCGAAAGCUGUGCUAAUACCGCCUGUGAUCUGAGGAUGAAAGCGGGGGACCAGGCAGCAAUGUUUGGCCUCGCGCCUUUGGAGCGGCCGAUGUCAGAUUAGGUAGUUGGUGGGGUAAAGGCCUACCAAGCCGACGAUCUGUAGCUGGUCUGAGAGGACGACCGGCCACACGGGACCGGGGACCCGUCCCGGCCCCCAACGGGAGGCAGCGUUGGGGAAUUUUGGACAAUGGGCGCAAGCCUGACCCAGCAAUGCCGCUUGCUGGAAGAAGGCUUUCGGUUUGUAAACCGCUUUGGUGCGGAACAAAAGGGGUCUGGCUAAUACCUGGGGCUGAGGACGGAACCAUAAGAAAAAGCACCGGCUAACUACGU
rnacentral:rRNA from 1 species